UCAUUUUUUAAAACUUUUAUUAUUAGUUUUUAUUACACAAGUAAUACAUGUUCAUUGUAGAAAAAUUAGAAAACACAGAAAAGCAAAAAGAAAAAAUAAUCACCCAUAAUCCCACUACCCAUAACUACUAUUAACAUUUUAGUGUAUGUCCUUCUAGCUUUCUUAUGCAUAUAUAUACAUACAUAGAUAUAUUUAUAUAUAAUUUUCUUUUUUACAAAUAUUGUGUCAUACUAUACAUACUGUUUUAUAACAUGUGUUUUUCAUUUAAUAUAUAUUGUGAACAUCAUUGUUUAUUCCCUGAAAAAUUUUACAGACACUACAUGCUCAUUGUGGAAAAUUAGAAGUUACAGAUAUGCAAAAAGAAAAUAUAAUUGCUCCAAAUCUCACCUCCCAGAGAUAAAUGCUUUUACACUUUGGCAAGUAUCCUUUCAGACUCUUUAAUGCACACAUGCAUACAUAUAUUUUUAAAAAGGGAUCGUACUAUAAAUAUUCCUCUAUAACUUCCUUUUUCAUCUAACAAUAUAGCUUGUACAUUUCAAUAAAUACACAUAUGGUGCUUAUUCUUAACUGGUACACAGUAUUCCAUUGAAAGGAUGUACCAUAUUUAACCAACCCUAUAAAGUAGGCUUAUUUACAUUUUUCUGCUUAUCCAAAUAAUCUGUGAGCAGAAAAACAAA
rnacentral:lncRNA from 1 species